rnacentral:rRNA from 1 species
AGUCGAGCGGGGUGAUGUAGCUUGCUACAUUACCUAGCGGCGGACGGGUGAGUAAUGCUUAGGAAUCUGCCUAUUAGUGGGGGACAACAUUCCGAAAGGAAUGCUAAUACCGCAUACGCCCUACGGGGGAAAGCAGGGGAUCUUCGGACCUUGCGCUAAUAGAUGAGCCUAGGUCAGAUUAGCUAGUUGGUGGGGUAAAGGCCUACCAAGGCGACGAUCUGUAGCGGGUCUGAGAGGAUGAUCCGCCACACUGGGACUGAGACACGGCCCAGACUCCUACGGGAGGCAGCAGUGGGGAAUAUUGGACAAUGGGCGCAAGCCUGAUCCAGCCAUGCCGCGUGUGUGAAGAAGGCCUUUUGGUUGUAAAGCACUUUAAGCGAGGAGGAGGCUACUUAGAUUAAUACUCUAGGAUAGUGGACGUUACUCGCAGAAUAAGCACCGGCUAACUCUGUGCCAGCAGCCGCGGUAAUACAGAGGGUGCGAGCGUUAAUCGGAUUUACUGGGCGUAAAGCGUGCGUAGGCGGCUUUUUAAGUCGGAUGUGAAAUCCCUGAGCUUAACUUAGGAAUUGCAUUCGAUACUGGGAAGCUAGAGUAUGGGAGAGGAUGGUAGAAUUCCAGGUGUAGCGGUGAAAUGCGUAGAGAUCUGGAGGAAUACCGAUGGCGAAAGCAGCCAUCUGGGCCUAAUACUGACGCUGAGUACGAAAGCAUGGGGAGCAAACAGGAUUAGAUACCCUGGUAGUCCAUGCCGUAACGAUGUCUACUAGCCGUUGGGGCCUUUGAGCUUUAGUGGCGCAGCUAACGCGAUAAGUAGACCGCUUGGGAGUACGGUC